rnacentral:rRNA from 1 species
GACGAACGCUGGCGGCGUGCUUAACACAUGCAAGUCGAACGGAAAGGCCCGGCUUUUGUGGGGUGCUCGAGUGGCGAACGGGGGAGUAACACGUGAGUAACCUGCCCUUGACUUUGGGAUAACUUCAGGAAACUGGGGCUAAUACCGGAUAGGAGCUCCUGCUGCAUGGUGGGGGUUGGAAAGUUUCGGCGGUUGGGGAUGGACUCGCGGCGUAUCAGCUUGUUGGUGGGGUAGUGGCUUACUAAGGCUAGGACGGGUAGCCGAACUGAGAGGGUGAUCGGCCACACGGGAGCGUAGACACGGUCCAGACGACUGAGGGACGGAGCAGUCGGGAACCGUCCGCAAUGGGCGAAAGUCUGACAGAGCAACGCCGCGUGAGUGAUAAAGGUCUUCGGUGCGUAAAACUCUCUUAUUAGUUAAGAACAAAUGUGUAAUUAGCCAUGGCCGGCUUGACGGUACCGAAUCAGAAAGCCACGGCUAACUACGUG